GACGCUAGGCCAAAAAACACGUUUUAAUGACUCCAACCUAAGUGUAUGUAAACUUCCGACUUCAACUAUAGGUCUAUGCAUCACCAGCUACACCAGCAUAUCUGUUGUUUAUACAGCCGUGGCCCAGGUCUCCUGCACCAGUAAGAGCUAAAUAUCUGGGUCUCUCCUGCACCAGUAAGAGCUAAAUAUCUGGGUCUCUCCUGCACCAGUUAGCACUAAAUAUCUGGGUCUCUCCUGCACCAGUAAGUGCUACAUUUCCGGGUCUCUCCUUCACUAGUAAGCUCUACAGAUCCAGGUCUGUCUUACACCAGUAAGCACUAAAUAUCAUAUGUCUCUCUUACAUGGGCAAGCGCUAAAUAUCUGGGUCUCUCCUACACCAGUAAGUGCUAAAUAUCCGGGUCUCUCCUGCAGCAGUAAGUGCUAAAUAUCUGGGUCUCUUUUACACCAGUGCACACUAAAUAUCCUCAAUCACAAAGGCUUUGAAGAGCCUAUGAGGUUGGUUUUAAAUGAUGGUCUGCACCUACGCCACCCUUUCGCUCUCCACUCGCACAAAUCCAUUUGCCGUGCACACAAUACAUUUCAAAUCAAAGCAGCGUCACCAUAACAUGCCUUAGGAGACAUUAAGCUAUACUAUGUUACUUUAAUGUAUGAUAGCAUGGCCCCCGUAUGCUUUUGAUGUGCUGACUGUUUUAAUACUUUAUUCAUAAUAAUACACUGGCUGCUUCUACUGUUCCGUUCCUCCUUCCAUCCCUCCACCCCUCCCUGGGUCUUGUCACUGGGUUGGACUGUCGGUGUGCUUGUGAUUAAAGACAAUGAUAUGGACCCGGAGAUGAAGAGUGCCAGGAUAACCUAUCAGAGAGCACUGGGUGUAAAGGUACUACUCUCCUAUUGGCUGCUGUUGGAAUCAGACACAUCUUCAUUUUUCUUCCAUCCAGCCUGCUUUCACAUCCAAGCCCCAGGGAAGUGUCAGAAUUGUAGUCCAUGUCUUUUGUGUGUGUGUGUAUGUGCACGUUCAUUUCCCUGUGUGCGUGAGUGUGUGCACGUGUGUGUGUGUGUGCACGUGUGUGUGUGUGGGCACUUUAGUGUGUGUGUGUGAGUGGAGUGUGCAGGUGUGUAUGUGUGCGGUAAACAUCUUAUAGACAGUGCUUAGAUACUGAGAACACUAACCCUCCUCCAAGCCUGGCCCAGACACAGACACAGUGUUGGGAAUGUUGGGCAGAUUUCAAGGUAAUGUCUUCUUCCAGCUACUUCAGCAGGACAUCAUCUCAUUAUGAAUGAAAGAGACUAGCUACAUCACAGUAAGCUUUAUGCAUGGAUUUAUAAUGGUGCUCACAUUUGUAACAAUGAUUUCUCACUGGCUUGCUCUAACUCUUAUUUAUUCCAGUCAUGCAUUUUAUACAACACUCGAGUGAAAUUCAGAUUUAACACCACACCAAAAUAAUACACUCAAUGAUCACACUUUAAAAAACGUGUUUGUUUUUUCCUCUUAUUCAUGUAGCGGCUGAUGUUGUUAUUACACCCCUGACAAUGGUGAGGAAUUCUGCUCUGUCUGUGUCUCCUGUUUUAAUCUGGUUGGGUACCUAACACGGCUGUCAGUCACCACCACUCAACAUUCAUUUUUCAGUGUGUUACCUUGCAUUACUUUCUGUUAUAUUCAGCAAUCACCCCAUUUAAAUUAGAAACGUUUCCAAUCAAAGAAUCCAUGCAUCGACACUAGUUAAAAAUACAUAUUUUAGGGCCUCCCGAGUGGCGCAGUGGUCUAAGGCACUGCAUCGCAGUGCUAGCUGUGCCACUAGAGAUUCUGGGUUCGAGUUCAGGCAAUGUUGUGACUGGGAGACCCAUGGGGCACACAAUUGGCCCCGCGUCGUCCAGGUUAUCAGGAGGGUUUGGCCGGAGGGGAUAUCCUUGUCCCAUCGUGCACUAGCAACUCCUAUGCGCAGUGCACGUUGUCACAGUCACCAGGUGUAUGGUGUUUCCUCCAACACAUUGGUGAGGCUGGCUUCCGGGUUAAGUGGGCAUUGUGUCAAAGAAGCAGUGCGGCUUGGUUGGGUUGUGUUUUGGAGGAUGCAUGGCUCUCGACCUUCACCUCUCCCGAGUCCGUACUGGAGUUGCAGCGAUGAGACAAGACUGUAACUACCAAUUAGAUAACAUGAAAAAUUGUGGAGAAAUGGGGUAAAAAUAUAAAUAUAUAUAUAUGUAUAUAUUUACCCUAUUGCUGCCAAUGUAAGGUCUCGAUUCAAUCCGUUUCGCCGAAGUUCAGCGUUAUAUCGCACUUACAAUGUGAAGGUAAUUUCCAAUUGAGCUGACAUAUGCAAAGUUUACUGUGAAUGCAGUCUCCACAAGCGCGGGAACAUUGCAUUUAAACUUAAAUCACGCUAUAGCUCUCAACUUCGGCGAUAAGGCUUGAAUCAAGCCCUUAGUCCAUCAUCCGGUCAACAAUGUCAUAGUCAGUUAACACUGGGGCUCGGGCUAGCGGCGUGACUGGGACCAGUGUGGCCAGCUCAUUCCAAGCUCCACAAGGGGCACCUGGCUCCCCUCCCUCCCUUGGCUGGAUCAAUGACUAGGGCCAUCCCAGCCCAGAGACCAGGGGUCAGCAUCAAAAGCCCCCUGCCCACAUCCCUGCCACCUGGUGCUCUCUUUCGGACGAGGGGGUACACUUCCACCCCUCCACCCUCUCUGAACAGGCCAGUCUGUGUGGACAUGGAGCCCGAACAGGGCCGUCGUGUGAUCUCCCGUGCCCCCCUCCCCAGCCACCCCCCACAGGGAGAGGGUGAGGGGUCAACCCCAUCAGACCACCACACGACUCACAGAGCCAUUUGAUGAGGGGAUCUGUUUAUGAUUCCAUUAUGCCAGUUGAAUCCUGAUCCUGAGCGCUCCUCAACGUGGCAGUGAUUGAGUGGUUGUUUGGAAUGUGUUUGUGUCAUCUGUGGUCAAAACCUUCAUGUUGGAAAAUGUUUGUUUUCAGGGAUUGGUGGAUGUGAAGUGGACCUGGUCAUUGAAGUGCGUUAGCAGAUCCCUAGUCUUGUGAACAAGGGAUGAAAAGGAGAGAAAAAAAGGUCUGAUGAGUUUGGCAAAGGGAGGACGGAGGGGGAGACAGAUGGCAUGAAGUCUGCAUGGCUCUGGCCUGGCGCUGAAAUCCUCCUCUCUCACAUUCCAACAAAUCCUAGCAGGAGGCUGGGGAGUCUGCCACGCCACUCUGUGGGUCCACAGGGUUCUCUCUGCAUCUCUCUCCUCGCUCCCCUGCACCCCCCGUAAGUCCCUGACCAAGGGUGUCAGCCCCCCCCAACACCAUAUAACCACACCUAUAAAUAUAUUAAAAGGCUACUUCAGGAUUUUGCCAGAGGCCCUUUAUCUACUUGCCCAGAGUCAGAAGAAUUAGUGGAUACCAUUUUUAUGUCUCUGUGUCCAGUAUGAAGGACUUUCAAGGUAGUUUCGUGAGCCAAUGUUACCUAGCGUUAGCGCAAUGACUGGAAGUCUAUGGUUAUCUGCUAGCAUAAAGUAUCCCUUUAAGAUGUGUACAGUAUGAUGGGAUUUGUGAGUUUACUGGCCUGCUAGAUAAGAGACACAGGAGGGUGGGAGAUGGAGACUGAGGCGCUGAUUGUUAGUAUGGAAUUGGGCAGAAUCGGGCCAGGUGUGUGGGAUAGAAUUGGGAGUGGACCUAUCCCUCCACUUGUGUCAGAUCUCAUUGAGUAAACAUAGGACCAAAGACUGUAAUCCAUUUAUAUGUGAGGAAGAAAACAAAGGAGCUUUUCAAUUAGUCUUGUCAUCCCCAGCUCCCGAUAAGGAGGAAACGCUAGCAAGUUGAGCCUGUCAUAGGCCAGACAUGCCCCGCUCAGAUUGCCUCGUAUCCUCCUCAGUCGGUCCGUCAGCGGGCCUAAGUGUAACUGCAUAGUAAUCACACACAGACAGUAUGCCCUACCGCUGGCCCCGCAGUGACCGCAUGACAUCUUUAUGCAUUUCCAAUUUUAGGAAUGUGCAUUGAGGAGCACCAUAUAAAAGCACAUCAGCAAUAUGAUAAUCAUGUUUAUAAUGUCAUUUUCGGACUGUACUCUGUGCACUUUCAAGCUUUCUCUCUCUCUCUCUCUCUCUCUCUCUCUCUCUCUCUCUGCACUUUUCCUUCUGCUUGUCCUAAUGAGUGGCUCUUAUGAGAAUAGAGCAUACUUUGAAAAGGUCACAGGAGG